AGCUCCCAAUCAAUUUCUUUUUCUUUUCAAACUCUAUAAAAGAAACCCCUCAAACUUCAACUCCUUCUUCACAUACAAAAACCAAAGCUUCCUUUUUGUCAUCACAAUAACAAAAUCAAACACAAAAGAUCCUUCCAAAUGGCUAUGCUUCCAUGCAAACGCAUUCUUAUACUCUUCCUCCUCAUCCUCAUCCUUCUUUCUUGUUUCUCAAACACAGCUAUAGCAGCAAGAAGUGUGGGAGUUGCUGAGAUGAAAAAUGAGAUCAGUCAAAGAGAGAAAGUAAUUAAUAUCAAUGAUGAUGUUAAUAAAGUUCAUAAUAAUAAUGAUGAAGAACAUUACUUCUCAAGCACUGAUGAUUUGGGUGCAAUGGAUUAUACUCCAGCCUCCAAGAAGCCUCCAAUUCACAACUAGAGAAUUUUAUUUAAUUUGUAUACGAACACUCAAAAUUAUUCCAAAAACACUUUUGUUUCAUUAUUAUUAAUUUGUAUGAUAUUUUACAUCUAUAUCUUCCCCUC